GAUGAACGCUGGCGGCGUGCCUAAUACAUGCAAGUCGAGCGAACAGACGAGGAGCUUGCUCCUCUGACGUUAGCGGCGGACGGGUGAGUAACACGUGGAUAACCUACCUAUAAGACUGGGAUAACUUCGGGAAACCGGAGCUAAUACCGGAUAAUAUAUUGAACCGCAUGGUUCAAUAGUGAAAGACGGUUUUGCUGUCACUUAUAGAUGGAUCCGCGCCGUAUUAGCUAGUUGGUAAGGUAACGGCUUACCAAGGCGACGAUGCGUAGCCGACCUGAGAGAGUGAUCGGCCACACUGGAACUGAGACACGGUCCAGACUCCUACGGGAGGGAGCAGUAGGGAAUCUUCGGCAAUGGGCGAAAGCAUGACGGAGCAACGCCGCGUGAGUGAUGAAGGUCUUCGGAUCGUAAAACUCUGUUAUGAGGGAAGAACAAAUGUGUAAGUAACUAUGCACGUCUUGACGGUACCUAAUCAGAAAGCCACGGCUAACUACGUG
rnacentral:rRNA from 1 species